UGGGGAAUAUUGGACAAUGGGCGCAAGCCUGAUCCAGCAAUGCCGCGUGUGUGAAGAAGGCCUGCGGGUUGUAAAGCACUUUCAGUGGGGAGGAAGGUCUUGGUACUAAUACUGCCAAGAAUUGACGUUACCCAAAGAAGAAGCACCGGCUAACUCUGUGCCAGCAGCCGCGGUAAUACAGAGGGUGCAAGCGUUAAUCGGAAUUACUGGGCGUAAAGGGCGCGUAGGUGGUUGAUUAAGUCAGAUGUGAAAUCCCUGGGCUUAACCUAGGAAUUGCAUUUGAUACUGGUCGGCUAGAGUGUGGGAGAGGGAAGUGGAAUUUCCAGUGUAGCGGUGAAAUGCGUAGAUAUUGGAAGGAACACCAGUGGCGAAGGCGACUUCCUGGACCACUACUGACACUGAGGCGCGAAAGCGUGGGGAGCGAACAGG
rnacentral:rRNA from 1 species